AACAGUUGGGCUCCCAUUUAAGGGCCCUCUCUUUAGCUCUUUACCCAAUGCAGCCAGUAUCUGGGGUAUAAUGGGUCUCUGUUGACCAUAGACAUCACUAUGGUUCUAUGCUGGUGUUCACCCCCCAACACUGGAAUGACAACAAAAUGAGAGAUUUCAUUCUAUGUUCCAAACCUUUCUCAAGCACAGACUCUCAUCAAAUCCAAUUGCUCUGCAUCUUGCUCUCUUGGGAUUAGGUGUGGGAUAAGAUAAAAAAGCAAUGGGAAUUUGCUAACCAAAGACAUCCUUCAGGGGACUAUUGAGGCGAACAUGCCUUCAAAAUGAUUAAUCCACUCGCCUUUCAGAAGUCUGUUUUGCUGGGCCCACGGCCACUGCCAAGAAAGGACACACUGUGACCACCAGCACCAGGAAGCAAAGAACAGCUUCCAAACUCAAGGGAGGCUGAAUGUUGAAGAGUCUUUUACCAGAACUGAUCCCAUUCAGCACCCUGCCUAGAACUGACAACCCAAUUUCAACACCAAUCAAUCAGUAAGAAUUUAUUGACUGCUACCAUGUCCCCCAUACUACUUACAAUACUGGCAAAGACCUAGAAGAAUCAUAAAACAUAUUCACCUUCUCAAAGGACUUAGAUUUGACUAGGGUUUUCAA